AUGUAAUGGACAUCAAACAUGUACAUUUGCUGUGAAUAAUGGAGUUUUCACUGAUCCCUGCGGAGGAACUUACAAAUAUUUGGAUGUGUCGUAUUCCUGUGGACCAGAUGUCCAGGGGCCGUUUGACUGUGGAAGCCAAGGCUGUAAAAUAUUUUCACUCUGUCAAUUUGAAAAGAAAGAGUUCGGCUGUU